UACGAAGGGGGCUAGCGUUGCUCGGAAUUACUGGGCGUAAAGGGCGCGUAGGCGGACAGUUUAGUCAGAGGUGAAAGCCCAGGGCUCAACCUUGGAAUUGCCUUUGAUACUGGCUGUCUUGAGUUCGGGAGAGGUGAGUGGAAUGCCGAGUGUAGAGGUGAAAUUCGUAGAUAUUCGGCGGAACACCAGUGGCGAAGGCGACUCACUGGCCCGAGUACCUGACGCUGAGGCGCGAAAGCGAUGGGGAGCAAACGGG
rnacentral:rRNA from 1 species